GGAGAACUUAUAAGGAGAUGGGCCACAAUUUUCCAUCCCAUAGACUUUGAUGUCCCUGGGCUCUUUGUCAAGGCCUAGUACAUCUGGGUAGCACUGAAGAAGGUGGCUGGGAUGGGCAUGAUGUGAAAAGGGAGCACAUUGGUGGCAGAAAUAGAGUAACCCUCUUCCUGGUGUCUGCCCUAGGAUAGCAUGUGACCAAAAAAUUUAUCCCAGUGAAGAAAUGGGAUCAAUUAACCAAGUGGCUAAGAGGCAUCAUGAUGAAGAGGUGCUUUUGGUUUUGAUGAAAAACAAGGCUUGUUAUGUGGUUAUAAAACUCUUCUAAGAGAUGUAUUCAUUCAAAGACUACGGUUAUAACACUCUCCAGUUGAAAUGCCAUCGUUCCGUUUUGGUGUCAGCCGAAGUGGAAUGGGUAUAGACGUGGAGAGUUCUGGGACCCAUGUCCCUCAGGGGCAAUGCCAGUAGAGUGCUGGCUGAAGGGAUCUAUCUUAACCAUGAAGUGCUGUGGAUGGGCAGAGUGCACAAAGAUGGAUGCUAUGGGUACGGUCACUCAGGAGAAGUCAAACGCCAGUAGAAGCUUGAGGACAUGGAGAACUCUUGGACACAAAAAUCAUCAGGAGAUCCCACUUGAUUACUAUAUUUGCAACUCCUCAAGUAAGAUUAAACAUCCUAGGAAUGCAGAGUACCUUUUGAGAACAUUCCUCAAGCUGUGUUGUAUAACCUGUGCUUCCGUAGGCAGUGCUCAAGACUGAGCAUGGAAAAGCAAUGUUGUCCAGGUAGGUGACCAUGAUUAAAGCAGUCCAGCUCUGACGCCUCGCAUGGCUGUGGGACCUAUCACAUGAUGAACCUCCUAGAGGCCAUCAAACCCCUGCCGAUAACAGGCCACCCUCAGAAUACACAGUUACCCCUAAGGAAUCAGAGGCUAGCUCCUGUUCCUCUCCCCACUUCUCUGGACUAUAUUGCUAGCUUCUUCUUUUUUUUUUAAAGAUUGGCCCCUGAGCUAACAUCUGUUGCCAAUCUUCUUUUUCUUCUCCGCAAAGCUCCCCACCCCCAGUACGUGGUUGUAUAUUCUGGUGGUAAGUGCCUCUGGUUGUGCUAUGUGGGACACCGCCUCAGUGUGGCUUGAUGAGCGGUGCCAUGUCCAUGCCCAGGAUCCCAACCGGCGAACCCCCGGGCCCCCGAAGCAGAGCCUGUGAACUUAACCACUCGCCACGGGGCUGGCCCUGACCGCUGGCUUCUUGUUCAUCAUUUCUGUCUUAGUGUUCAGUUUUGCAACCCAGCAGUCUUUUUGCAACUGUUUGGAAAGCUUGUGGGUGAGAGACAGCAGC
rnacentral:lncRNA from 1 species